UACGUAGGGGGCGAGCGUUAUCCGGAUUCAUUGGGCGUAAAGCGCGCGUAGGCGGCCGCCUAAGCGGAACCUCUAACCCCGGGGCUCAACCUCGGGCCGGGUUCCGGACUGGGCGGCUCGAGUGCGGUAGAGGAGAGCGGAAUUCCCGAUGUAGCGGUGGAAUGCGCAGAUAUCGGGAAGAACACCGAUGGCGAAGGCGGCUCUCUGGGCCGUCACUGACGCUGAGGCGCGAAAGCUGGGGGAGCGAACAGG
rnacentral:rRNA from 1 species